rnacentral:rRNA from 1 species
CGUGUAGGCGGCUUGACAAGUCAGAUGUGAAAUCCCUGGGCUUAACCCAGGAAGUGCAUUUGAAACUGUCUGGCUAGAGUAAGGGAGAGGAAAGUGGAAUUCCUGGUGUAGAGGUGAAAUUCGUAGAUAUCAGGAGGAACACCGGUGGCGAAGGCGACUUUCUGGCCCUAUACUGACGCUGAGACGCGAAAGCGUGGGUAGCAAACA